rnacentral:rRNA from 1 species
UACGUAGGGGGCAAGCGUUGUCCGGAAUCACUGGGCGUAAAGGGCGCGUAGGUGGCGCGAGUAGUCAACGGUGAAAGCCCGGGGCUCAACCCCGGGUCGGCCGUCGAUACUCUCGUGCUUGAGCACUGUAGAGGCAGGUGGAAUUCCAGGUGUAGCGGUGGAAUGCGUAGAGAUCCGGAAGAACACCGGUGGCGAAGGCGGCCUGCUGGGCAGUAGCUGACACUGAGGCGCGACAGCGUGGGGAGCAAACAGG